UUCGGGGGGAGCGUCAACAUGGUCAACAUACAGAACCGCAAAACAGGAACAUUCAAUAGUAGAAAAACGUCCGUACAACAGAAGCAUACAAACACACACUCAAAGGAGAAUAUAACUUCAGUCGCGAUGUUACGUAGGAAAAUAAGGAAGAAAUACAUAUAGAACUAGCAACAAUAAUCCGCGAGUAAUCAUCCAUAACAUAUAUGAUAUUCCCUGAAGUAUGUGGUUUUCUGGGUUAUAACACCAUGUGGUCUGGAUAAAGGCAGUCUUCCGAGAAGAAUAUGUUAUCUUGAUCUUCAGAAUCAAAGAGUAAGCUAAACAUGAAACCAGCAGUAGAGGUGGAAAGAUGACUCUUCAACCCUGAAGAUGAAGAAGACAUGACAUACUGGACUUUCUCUGCGCUAUACAGAGUAACAACCCGGAAGACCAUAUUCUUCAUAGUCACCACUGUGAGAAUCUCUAAUCCAACAUGACAUUUUCCAUUUGUGGGAAAAAUUUCAUCCUGUGUCACAUAUAGGUUUAAAUGCAUAGUUCACCUCUCUCACAGACACUCUCCAUGACAAAAGCACUGACUUAGAGCCCUAAUAUUAUUUUUAACAAAUACACAUAAAAUUUUGGUUGGAAGACCUCAUGGCAAGGGAACACUUUGGAGAUUUAAAUGUAGAUGAGCAGUUACUGUAAUAAGACCAUGGAAAAGAAAGCUGGCUCAGGAUAUUGCCCACUGGUGCAUUUUGUCAUGACAGUUUUGAAUAUCUAUCUUCUGUAAAUCACAGGUUCAGUAGAACAGCUGAAUAGAUAUCAGUUGUGAAAGGGGAUUCAGUACCACAGAUUCAAUUAGUAUCUUUUUUAACUACUGACAGCAAUGAAAUUCAGAAACAAACACUAUUUUUUAUUGCCAAUGCAGUUUUCUGCCAUGAAACUUUAUGUCCAUCAUCUUCUACAUUAAAUGGCCCAUCAAUGUGGGCAAUGUAAGCAUCUGUUUGCAGUUAUGAAGCACCACCGUACUGUAAAGAUAAAAUACUCAAAGCCAUCAGUGAUUCAAAACAGUGUAUACGAAUAUUCAAUAACUUGCUGGUUUUUGCCCAAAGGAUAUUUUGUAUAUUCCCUACAAUCACCAGAAGCAAGCAUCUAAAAAUACAACUUUCAGGGGAACCAAACUACACAGCAUCACAUUGCAGAAGAAAAUAUUCAUGUUGCAUAAUGUUUUUCAGUUGUCACAAAAUAAAGCAAGAAAGAGCUAGUCUCAAUCUCUGGUCUCCUCAGGUGUUAUGAAGAAAAGGUUCCUCCUUGGCUAUGCCAGUUAGAGCUCGUCUUGAUCACCGGACCUGGGACCAGAGUCCAAAACGUUGCAUUCAAAAUACUCACUACGAUUGCUUAAUGGAAGGAAUAAAUAAGAAAUAUGUAGAACCUAAUUUCAGUGCUACAUGCUAUAACGUAUACAACUUUAACUUAAACACAAACAUUCUUAUCUCAUUAACGUAAAUGGGACACUUCAAUGUCUGCACAACAAAAUUUAUGCACAUAGAUAACAGUUUACUGUUAAUAAAGAUGUACAUGGUUUGCAUACUUCCUGCUGUGUUUGUUGACUUAAACUGUGUAUACAACUAUUGUACCUAUCCUGAAGAUAUCAAAAAUUGGCUGAAACAUGUUACAAAAACUUUGAAAUAACUGAGUAACUGUCUUCUCUUUUAAAACAACAAAUCUGGCCUUAAAAUUAGGCAAAGGAAGAAAAGUAUAAUUACUGUUUGGUCCUAAUUUUUAGUUACUAUUUACCACAGUUGUAUAACAGAAAAUACUUUUUGGCAUAGUUUUCCAAAGGCAUUAAAGUAGAUAAUAAUUAUUAGGACAAUGAAAAUUGGAUGAUAGUCUCUUUAUCAACAAACAUUUCACUUUGAUUCAAAAUUGCAUGAAGGUUCAUCAAGAUUAAUAACUAUGGCCACUACACAUUCUGGCAAGAGAAAUGGAGCAAAUUUCAUAACAAUCUCAUACACCACCGGUCAAAUUUACUAUCAAAUGAGCAAUAUAAAUUCACAAAGGACAAAAAUUUGUAAUUUGAUGAUGUGAUUGUUAUUGAUGACACUGCUUGGGUAAAAGUAACUGGGUGCAAUUGAAUAUAAUGAUAUGACAUACUAAGAAAUAUUUAAGUAAAUUCUUCUUCACUGGGGUGAUUAUUCUGAUCUUAUUACCUUUUAAGUAGACUGAUUUUAAGGCAACUUCAGAAAAAUUAACUGAAAGUAUGAGAGUAUAACUAUAUGGGCCUUUGUCCAUUUGGUGGUUUGUUGUUAUAAGAACUGACAAAAUGUAAUAUAAAUGGCAAAUGUGCCUAAUCAUCUUGUCAUGAAGAUGUAUGGUAACCCUACAGGUACAGCUCCAUGCAAUUUAGACUUUGGCAUUAAAUGGAGGUCAGGGGUUAAUGCAUCAUGGUCUGACCUGAGAGGCAGGCUUAGCCCCUGAACCAUUAUGAACACAGCUAGGUAUCAAAUUGCCAUAAUCCUGCCUGCAGAAGACACUUACAAACUGACCUAUCUGGUAUUAGAGUUUAUUUUUGGUUUUGUUUACUGUCCACUAUGCAACAUUGUUCAGGUAUAAACUAAAAUCCUUUUUGAAAUUCAUCACUGCACUAUAUUUGUCGGCCUACUCAGCCAUCAUCCGGUGCGUUGAAAUUCAAGAGAACUGCUGUGUCUUUUCCGUUACUGCAAUGGAAGUUUUCAUAUUUAAAAUGUUUCUAAAUGAAGUCAAUGUAAGUUCCUCCUUCUACGCCACAUGUAUUGUCUUUUUUUGGUAUGCCUGUUGGUAUGCAAGUGUGCACUGUGGAUGUUAUAUAACAUUAUGACCCACUUGGCGCCUAGCAAUAAAGCCAUUGUAAUCAUACACCAACUCCAUUA